CCCGUUCGAGCGUCAUUAAAACCCAUCAAGCCUGGCUUGGUAUUGGGCGUCGGGAUCUCCCCGCGCCCCGAUUUCGCCGGCUGGACGACCCCGAUCUCAAGCGUAGUAAUGAGUCUCGCUGGAAGGACGGGCGGCCAUGCCGUUAACCCUCAUCAAUUCAAGUUGACCUCGGAUCGGGUAGGAAUACCCGCUGAACUUAA
rnacentral:misc_RNA from 1 species